rnacentral:rRNA from 1 species
UACCAGCACCCCGAGUGGUCGGGACGUUUAUUGGGCCUAAAGCAUCCGUAGCCGGUUCUACAAGUCUUCCGUUAAAUCCACCUGCUUAACAGAUGGGCUGCGGAAGAUACUAUAGAGCUAGGAGGCGGGAGAGGCAAGCGGUACUCGAUGGGUAGGGGUAAAAUCCGUUGAUCCAUUGAAGAACACCAGUGGCGAAGGCGGCUCACUGGCCCGUAACUGACGCUGGGGCACGAAAGCGUGGGGAGCAAACAGG